UACGUAGGGUGCAAGCGUUAAUCGGAAUUACUGGGCGUAAAGCGUGCGCAGGCGGUUUUGUAAGCCUGUCGUGAAAUCCCCGGGCUUAACCUGGGAAUUGCGAUGGUGACUGCAAGGCUAGAGUUUGGCAGAGGGGGGUAGAAUUCCACGUGUAGCAGUGAAAUGCGUAGAGAUGUGGAGGAACACCGAUGGCGAAGGCAGCCCCCUGGGUCAAAACUGACGCUCAUGCACGAAAGCGUGGGGAGCAAACAGG
rnacentral:rRNA from 1 species